AGUUUUUCGUAUUUAUUCUUUGCCCCCAAAUUUUAAAGCAUUUGCAAUGUGUACCCAAAAGUAAACCUAUGAAUAAAUAAUAAUUAUUAUUUUUCUUCCACUUCUCUGGUUUUUACUUACCAAACAUCGAUUUAAAACUCUUCAGUUCAAAUCCUCUGAUUUAUAUCGAGUUUUAAAAAUUGUUCGCCGGCCGCGUCGCUCUCGCGCUGCCCAGCCGUAUCACACCGCCGACGCUGCCGUUUAUGUACGGCCGCUGGAUUUCUUCUUGCUCCGUUGGCUCUCGAUUUCUUCUUGGCUCGAUGGCCUGUCGUCGUUCACAACUUUUGGUGUUAGCAUCUUCGCUAUGGAUUUCUCCACUGCCGCCAUAGCCUCGUGUUCCUCCCGUCGGUUCCGCCGCGGAUUUUGCAGGCUUGGACUUCUUCAUGAAACACAGCCAUAUACAUUAAAGCAUACCUUCUGGUGGUCCUUCAAAUAGUUUUUGCCACGUAUCAGAAACAAAGAGGGAUCUGCCGAUGCCACACUGCAUGGAGAAAAGUUGGGGUCUUUUGGAAGCGUGGAUCCAUAGGAGUACGGCAUAGUUUCUUCUCUAGGCAACUCAGCUGCUGAUCGUGCAACUUUUUCACGAAAACAAGUACCUGCAAGAUCAUGCAACUUCUUCACAAAAACAGCUGCUGAUGAUAGUUUGGUCU